rnacentral:rRNA from 1 species
UACAGAGGUCCCGAGCGUUGUUCGGAUUCACUGGGCGUAAAGGGUGCGUAGGUGGCAUGGUAAGUUUGAUGUGAAAGCUCAGGGCUUAACCCUGAAAUGGCAUUGAAUACUACUGUGCUGGAGGUUUGGAGGGGGGACUGGAAUUCUUGGUGUAGCAGUGAAAUGCGUAGAUAUCAAGAGGAACACCAGUGGCGAAGGCGAGUCCCUGGACAACACCUGACACUGAGGCACGAAAGCUAGGGGAGCAAGCAGG